GCUUGCUUCGGCAACACAUCUACUAAAAUUGGGACGAUUCAGAGAAGGUUAGCACGGCACCUGUGCAAGGAUGACACGAAAAUUUGUGAAGCGUUCCAUAUAUUU
rnacentral:snRNA from 1 species